UACGUAGGUGACCAGCGUUGUCCGGAUUUACUGGGCGUAAAGAGCGCGCAGGCGGUCGUUUAAGUCGAGUGUGAAAGCCCCCGGCUCAACUGGGGAGGGUCACUUGAUACUGAUCGACUCGAAGGCAGGAGAGGGAAGCGGAAUUCCCGGUGUAGUGGUGAAAUGCGUAGAUAUCGGGAGGAACACCAGUGGCGAAGGCGGCUUCCUGGGCCAACACUGACGCUGAGUGAGCGAAAGCCAGGGGAGCAAACGGG
rnacentral:rRNA from 1 species